GACGAACGCUGGCGGCGUGCUUAAUACAUGCAAGUCGAACGAACCCGAGACUUCGGUCUCAAUGGGUGAGUGGCGAACGGGUGAGUAACACGUGAGGAACCUGCCCCGGAGUACGGAAUAACCCAGAGAAAUUUGGGCUAAUACCGCAUACCUUCAGACCAUCGCAUGAUGGAUUGAAGAAAGAUUUAUCGCUCUGGGAGGGCCUCGCGGUCUAUCAGCUUGUUGGUGAGGUAACGGCUCACCAAGGCUUCGACGGAUAGCUAGUCUGAGAGGACGAAUAGCCACACUGGAACUGAGACACGGUCCAGACUCCUACGGGAGGCAGCAGUAGGGAAUCUUGCACAAUGGGCGAAAGCCUGAUGCAGCGACGCCGCGUGGGGGAUGAAGGCCUUAGGGUCGUAAACCCCUUUCAGGAGGGACGAAAAUGACGGUACCUCCAGAAGAAGCCCCGGCCAACUACG
rnacentral:rRNA from 1 species